ACAGUCACACAUUAGAUACCCCCGUAGUCCCAGCCGUAAACUAUGCGCGUUAGGUGUAUCGGUGACCACGAGUCACCGAGGUGCCGAAGGGAAACCGUGAAACGUGCCGCCUGGGAAGUACGGUCGCAAGGCUGAAACUUAAAGGAAUUGGCGGGGGAGCACAACAACGGGUGGAGCCUGCGGUUUAAUUGGACUCAACGCCGGACAACUCACCGGGAACGACAGCAAUAUGUAGGCCAGGCUGAAGACCUUGCCUGAAUCGCUG
rnacentral:rRNA from 1 species